UUAAGAAGAGAAGGGCAUGCGGUGAAUGCCUAGGCGCUAAGAGCCGACGAAGGACGCGGUAAGCUGCGAAAAGCCGUGCCGAGACGCAAGCAGUCAGUGACACACGGAUCUCCGAAUAGGAAAACCCCACUGGAGUAAUGUCCAGUGACCCUGUACUGAAUACAUAGGUACAGGGAGGCAACCCGGGGAACUGAAACAUCUAAGUACCCGGAGGAAAAGAAAGAAAACUCGAUUCCCCCAGUAGCGGCGAGCGAAGCGGGAAGAGCCCAAACCAGUUUCGGCUGGGGUUCGGACACUCAUCACGUAAGGGAAGGUUAGUCGAAUGGCAUGGGAAGGCCAGCCACAGACGGUUAGAGCCCAGUAGACGAAAACCCGAACUUAUAGAGUGGAUCCAGAGUACCACGAAGCACGUGGAAUUUCGUGGGAAAGAGCGGGGACCACCCCGUAAGGCUAAAUACUCCUUAGCGACCGAUAGAGAACAAGUACCGUGAGGGAAAGGUGAAAAGCACCUCGGAAGAGGAGUGAAAGAGAACCUGAAACCGCAUGCUUACAAUCAGUCACAGCUCCAUAAGAGAGUAGUGGCGUACUUUUUGUAGAACGGACCGGCGAGUUACGUUAACAAGCGAGGUUAAGGAAACGGAGCCAAAGCGAAAGCGAGUCUGAAGAGGGCGAAAGUUUGUUGACGUAGACCCGAAACCAGGUGAUCUACCCAUGAGCAGGUUGAAGCGUUGGUAAAACAACGUGGAGGACCGAACCAGGGAUCGUUGAAAAGAUCUUGGAUGACUUGUGGGUAGGGGUGAAAUUCCAAUCGAACCUGGAGAUAGCUGGUUCUCCUCGAAAUAGCUUUAGGGCUAGCCUUAUUUUGAGCUUAACGAAGGUAGAGCACUGAAUGGGUACGGGGGCUUCACCGCCUACCAAACCUUAUCAAACUCCGAAUGUCGUUAAGCAUGAAUAGGAGUCAGACCAUGGGGGAUAAGCUUCAUGGUCAAAAGGGAAAGAGCCCAGACCGCCGUCUAAGGUCCCAAAAUCAUUGUUAAGUGGAAAAGGAUGUGAAAUCGCUUAGACAACCAGGAUGUUGGCUUAGAAGCAGCCACCAUUAAAAGAGUGCGUAAUAGCUCACUGGUCCAGGGGUUUUGCGCCGAAAAUGUAACGGGGCUCAAACAAUGUACCGAAGACGCGGAAUUACGAAUGUAAUUGGUAGAGGAGCGUUCUCAUUGGGGAGAAGCGAUACCGAGAGGAGUCGUGGACUAAUGAGAAGAGAGAAUGCCGGUAUAAGUACACGAUAAGGCAGGUGAGAAUCCUGCCCGCCGGAAGUCUAAGGGUUCCUGGGGAAGGCUCGUCCACCCAGGGUAAGUCGGGGCCUAAGGCAAGGCCGAAAGGCGUAGUCGAUGGGAAACAGGUAGAUAUUCCUGUACCACCGCUAUAUGAUGACGAAGCAGUGACGCAGAAAGGUAGAGCGAGCGGCCAGUUGGUGAGCCGUUCAAGUGAGUAGGGUGUUUGGUAGGCAAAUCCGCCAAACGGAAGCCUGAGACACGAUGACGAGUGAAAAAUAGUAACGAAGUCCUUGAUCCUCCGCUGCCAAGAAAAGCUGCUAAGGAAUAUAGAGGUGCCCGUACCGCAAACCGACACAGGUAGACAGGUAGAGAAUACUAAGGCGCGCGAGAUAACUCUUGUUAAGGAACUCUGCAAAAUGAACCCGUAACUUCGGGAGAAGGGUUGCUGACCAUGGUGAGUAUGAGCAAUACAGAGCUGAGGUCAGUCGCAGUGAAAAGGUCCAGGCGACUGUUUAGCAAAAACACAGGUCAUUGCAAAAUCGCAAGAUGAAGUAUAAUGGCUGACGCCUGCCCGGUGCUGGAAGGUUAAGGGGAAGAGUGCAAGCUUUGAACCGAAGCCCCAGUAAACGGCGGCCGUAACUAUAACGGUCCUAAGGUAGCGAAAUUCCUUGUCGGGUAAGUUCCG
rnacentral:rRNA from 1 species